rnacentral:rRNA from 1 species
AUUUAACCUCAAAUCAGGUAAGAAUACCCGCUGAACUUAAGCAUAUCAAUAAGCGGAGGAAAAGAAAAUAACAAUGAUUCCCUUAGUAACUGCGAGUGAAGAGGGACAAGCUCAAAUUUUAAAUCUGUUAGGUUCAUCUAACCGAGUUGUAAUUUGAAGAGGCGUUUUCUGCGUUUUUGAUCAGUCCAAGUCCUUUGGAAUAAGGCAUCAUGGAGGGUGAGAAUCCCGUUCGGUUGAUCAAAUUUGCUUUAUGAUACGUCAUCUAAGAGUCAAGUUGUUUGGGAUUGCAGCUUAAAAUGGGAGGUAAAUUUCUCCUAAGGCUAAAUAACGGCGAGAGACCGAUAGCGAACAAGUACCGUGAGGGAAAGAUGAAAAGAACUUUGAAAAGAGAGUCAAAUAGUACGUGAAAUUGUUGAAAGGGAAACGAUUGAAGUCAGUCGUACCUGCGGGAUAAUCAGCCUUUCGAGUAUGAUUCUGUGGAGUGUAAGGAGUUUAACCGUCUUCAUACCUGCAUAUUCGUGCGCUUUGGGUGUACUUGUCCGUAUGGUAGGUUAACAUCAAUUUUGGUCGUUAUAAAAUGACUAGGGGAAUGUAGCUUUGAUCCCGUAUUGAAGUGUUAUAGUCUCUGGUAAAUGCAGUGACUAGGAUUGAGGAUUGCAACGGAUACCUUUCGGGGCUACUCGUCUGAUCUCUGGAAGUUACUUUGGUGCUAAAAGCUUGCUUAUGGUUAUCGAAGUUGACGGUCAAUAGGUUAGAACGAGUUAAAUUCGUUAAGGAUGUUGACGUAAUGGCUUUAAACGACCCGUCUUGAAACACGGACCAAGGAGUCUAACAUAUAUGCGAGUGUUU